CUGGGGAUGCAGCUCAAUGACAGAGUGCUUGCCCAGCAUGCAUGAGGUCCUGGGUUCAAUCCCCAGUACUGAAA
rnacentral:tRNA from 1 species